rnacentral:rRNA from 1 species
GAUGAACGCUAGCGGCAGGCUUAAUACAUGCAAGUCGAGGGGUAACAUGGGUAGCAAUACCUGAUGACGACCGGCAAACGGGUGCGGAACACGUACGCAACCUUCCCAUAACUGGUGAAUAGCCUUUCGAAAGAGAGAUUAAUACACCGUAACAUAACGAGUAGGCAUCUACUUGUUAUUAUAGGCUUCGGCCGGUUUUGGAUGGGCGUGCGCCUGGUUAGGUAGUUGGCGGGGUAACGGCCCACCAAGCCUGGGAUAAGUAACUGGUGGGAGAGACCGACCAGUCACACGGGCAGUGAGACACGGGCCCGAAGACUACGGGAGGCAGCAGUAAGGAAUAUUGGGCAAUGGACGGAAGUCUGAACCAGCCAUGCCGCGUGAAGGAUGAAGGCCCUCUGGGUUGUAAACUUCUUUUAUCUGGGACGAAAAAAGCUCAUUCUUGAGCACUUGACGGUACCAGAGGAAUAAGCACCGGCUAACUCCGUGCCAGCCGCCGCCGUAACAC